GUCCACGCCGUAAACGAUGGAUGCUAGCCGUCGGCAAGCUUGCUUGUCGGUGGCGCAGCUAACGCAUUAAGCAUCCCGCCUUGGGAGUACGGCCGCAAGGUUAAAACUCAAAGGAAUUGACGGGGGCCCGCACAAGCGGUGGAGCAUGUGGUUUAAUUCGACGCAACGCGAAUAACCUUACCAAGCCUUGACAUGUCCGGACAGGCCUCAGAAAAGGGGUCCUCCUAGCAAUAGGUCGGAACACAGGUGCUGCAUGGCUGUCGU
rnacentral:rRNA from 1 species